rnacentral:tRNA from 1 species
GGUUCCGUAGCUCAGUUGGAUAGAGCAACAGCCUUCUAAGCUGUGGGUCGUGGGUUCGAGUCCCUCCGGAAUCGCCA